rnacentral:rRNA from 1 species
AUGAAAGCAAAGUACUAUCCUCAUGGGCACCUGCUGGACACUGUAUUCCCUCAAGUGACAUCGACUACUUGGCAAGGUGAGGAAGAUUUUAUUGCUUGGCGCUAUGAGAAAAAUAGAAUGUUCUCGGUUAAAAGUGCGUACAGGCUGGCGCUGAAUUUGAAGAACAAUAAGAGUGAGACGGGGAGCUCUAGUGAUGCUGUGAAUGGAGAAAGGAGGCUUUGGAACAUUAUUUGGAAGGCUCAGGUCCCUCAGAAAAUCAGAAUUUUUGCUUGGCGUGCUGCUACUAAUAGUUUGGCGGUUCAAGUUAACAGGGUUAAACACCAUCAAACUACCAUUGGCUUAUGUUCGAUUUGUGGCGUCGAAGAUGAAUGUGUGUUUCAUGCUCUGGUGAGAUGUCCCAAGGCGUGGGCGCUCCGUAUGGCGUUAACGUCGCCGGUGCGUGAGAAAGUUAUAUUCAUGUUUUGGAGGGCAUGGUACCUGAGGAAUGACUUGAUCUUUGGUAAGGGAAAGGAAACUAUCUCUACCUUUGUGAGCUUUAUUCAAAACUACUGGGGGUCCUUCUCGUCCUGUCAUACCAAUAGGAAGAUGGAGGUUACCAACAAAGGUAAGGAAAGGGUCGAUGGGUUUUAUGAUACAAUUAAAGUGAAAGAAAAAGUUGUGAAUUGGCAGCCACCCAACCCGGAGUCCAUUAAGAUUAAUGUUGAUGCAAGCUUUGUGGAGGCCAUUAGCUCUGCGAGUGUGGGUGUGGUUGCCAGGAAUCAUUUGGGAGAAGUGAUCAUUUCUUCAUGGGAUUAUAUUGAGAAAAUGAUUAUGGAUGGGGACAACGGGUGUGGCAGGAGAUGCGCGGGGCAGCUUGAGUGCGGUCCAAGGAAGGAUGGCACCGUGAUGAAAUCAUGGAGGAAGUAG